CAUGAUUAUAUUUAAUAAGACACUUUAUAUAUAUGAAUAAAUAUAGAUAGAAGUCACUAUUGGGAGCAUCCAUUUUGCACAAAUGAUGUGGCAUCAUUUAGACCACACAUCUCUCCAAGUAAGUGUUGUGAACAAUCAGCUAGAAGCAGC